rnacentral:rRNA from 1 species
CGGGGUGAGUAAUGUAUGGGGAUCUGCCUGAUGGCGGGGGAUAACUACUGGAAACGGUAGCUAAUACCGCAUAAUGUCUACGGACCAAAGCGGGGGACCUCCGGGCCUCGCGCCAUCAGAUGAACCCAUAUGGGAUUAGCUAGUAGGUGAGGUAACGGCUUACCUAGGCGACGAUCCCUAGCUGGUCUGAGAGGAUGACCAGCCACACUGGAACUGAGACACGGUCCAG